CAAUAACAACAGGAGAGUCAGCAACUAAACAAUUCAUUAUACACUAAAUUGCACAUAUGUAAUCCUUCAACAAACUUCUAUAUGCUAGUCCUCAAUGAGGAAAGACUGGUGGCAAACUGAUAGUAUUCAAAAACUGUCAUGAGACUGACAUCAAGGGUGUUUAAUUUAACAUUUUCUUAAUGUUUGAGCGAAGUCAAACUCAACAGCAACACCGUGGAUGACGAAACUCUGUUAAAAAAGCGUAGAAUUGAGAAAGACGCCAUAACCAUUGACGAUAACAGUGAUUCGUCAAGCUCGUCGCAAAGCGAGUCGGAGGACAGCGAUGUUGACAUUUUCAUUGAUGUUUAAAGUACAAUGACUUUGUAAAUAUCAACACAUACUCGCUGGUACAAACAUUU